UAGCGCAGCUUGGUAGCGCAACUGGUUUGGGACCAGUGGGUCGUAGGUUCAAAUCCUA
rnacentral:tRNA from 1 species